rnacentral:rRNA from 1 species
UACAGAGGUCUCAAGCGUUGUUCGGAUUCAUUGGGCGUAAAGGGUGUGUAGGUGGCGCGCUAAGUCGGGUGUGAAAUUUCGGAGCUUAACUCCGAAACUGCAUUCGAUACUGGCGUGCUUGAGGACUGGAGAGGAGACUGGAAUUCAUGGUGUAGCAGUGAAAUGCGCAGAUAUCGGGAAGAACACCCGUGGCGAAGGCGGCUCUCUGGGACGGUACUGACGCUGAGACGCGAAAGCGUGGGGAGCGAACAGG